rnacentral:tRNA from 1 species
GGGGUUGUAGCUCAGCAGUGGAGUGCUCAUCUAGCACAUGUGAGGCCCUGGGUUCAAUCCUCAGCACCA